rnacentral:misc_RNA from 1 species
UUUAUCCCGGAGGGCUUGUAGCUCAGCUGGUUAGAGCGCGCGCUUGAUAAGCGUGAGGUCGGAGGUUCAAGUCCUCCCAGGCCCACCAAUUUUACAUCACUUUUAAGUGCUUAUAGAAAUUGUAAGCAGUUAUGAAAGCUUGCUGAUAGAAAUUUUAUGGCGCUUAUCCAUUUGGUUUAAACGAUAUGUGACUUAAGCCAUCUAAAAUUAAAGCAGUUCAAAUGCAUAGAAGUUUGAAUUUUAGACAAUGGAAGUAAAUUUGGAUAAUGUGAAUUUUGAGCAGUAUAAAUUUAGGUUCUGCAAAUUUUGCAAAUCUCUC